rnacentral:sRNA from 12 species
CACUGCGCUGGUUGGACUUUGUUUAACUGCAGCGGCGCAGGGUGAGUCCCCUACUGUUGGAUCAGGUGCUGAAACAGGGAAAGGGUGGCGAAGUUAGCGCCCUUGCAUCGAACGGCUGACGGGU